rnacentral:ribozyme from 1 species
UCCAUCAGACCUUGAACCAGCUCCAGGGAAUUGUCGAAGAGAAGAAAGACAAUAGGGACGCCAAAAAUGACCAGAGUGGUACGGAUC